AUGGAGGUGUCGAGAAACGAAGGCCGGUUUGAGAGUCGAAUGUUAGAGAAGGGGGAGGAGCCCUCUAAACUGCAAGGUGGAGAAGAGACGUAGAGAUUUUUGUUGAAGAGGAGAAGUUCUAAGUGGACCGAAUACGCUUCUAAGUGAGCCAUGUGGAGAAGAAAUCGAGAGUUGAAAAGAAGAGGUUCUUCGUGAGCCGAACGCGGUUCUAAGCAAGUCGCAAGGAGAGGAAGGAGUAGAUCUGUGUGAUCAAGAUUUAUCUGUGUGAAGCGAGAUGUACCGGAGAUUUGUGUGAUCAGAAAAGGAGACAAAGAUGAAGAUGAUUUGUGCGAUCUAUGAAGAGUUCUGUUUGAACGGUGCAACGGUUCUGAGUGAAUCGACUGGGAUGUGUUCUAUACGAACGAUUUAUGUGCGAAAAAAUGAGAAGAAUCUGAGUGAUUCAUGGUGGUGAAUGAUGAUUCUUUGUGGGUCUAAUCAAGAACAAAAUUUGUGUGAUUUUAAGGUGCAGCCGAUGUGUGGAGACAUGCGGUGAACAGAACCUGUGUGGCUCAGCGAAUUCAAGUGAACAAGUUGUGGUUAUGAUCAGAUGAAGGAUGAAAAUGAAGAGAUGAAUGAAAAUCGGAUAUGUUUGUUUGGGAUAAGAUUAUGAAUUA
rnacentral:lncRNA from 1 species